rnacentral:rRNA from 1 species
GACGAACCGUGCGAACGUUGUUCGGAAUCACUGGGCUUAAAGGGCGCGUAGGCGGGUGGCCGCGUCCGCGGUGAAAUCCCCCGGCUCAACCGGGGAAGGGCCGCGGGUACGGGCGACCUCGAGGCGGGUAGGGGCGUGCGGAACACUGGGUGGAGCGGUGAAAUGCGCAGAUAUCAGGAGGAACACCGGUGGCGAAGGCGGAUCUCUGGGCCAUACUGACGCUGAGGAGCGAAAGCGUGGGGAGCGAACAGG